AGACGCAUUUUUUGGGGUACUAUUCCGCAUUAAAAGUCAGGAACGUGUUCUAUUUUGCCUAUUGUAUGUAUGAAUGAUGGAAAGACCAAACGGUUUUGUUUUGCAAAUUCCAUACGGGAAGGGAAAGAACAAACUAUAUAAAAGGAUUAACCUGUGAUGUACUACUACUUUUCAGUACUAUGUACUCAUGAAAUACACUCCAAGGAAACAAGCGCCUACAAGUUGUCCCUCUAAAAUUAAGGUAUGUGGCAUGCAAGCAGAGGAGAGGAUGAACUUGAGAAUUACCAAUUCGGCCUCAUAUUUGAUCUGAUAAGAUGCAAAAAAUAAAUGGAUGAUUAUAUGGGUGUGUGAAGAUCAUGAUGCUCCUGUCCAUGAUGAUGAUGAUGAUGAUGAUGAUGAUGGAUGCUUUUAUUGUUCGUUAAGUUGUAGGGAUGUUCAUUUUGGGUGAUGGGUGAUGUUCCUCAGUUAAGUUUUAGAUAAGUUGUAGGGAUGUUGAUGGAUACUUUCGGUUGAACUUUCGAUGUGUCGAAAAUAUUUAGAUUAUGCAUCAGAUUGGGAU